CUGCUGUGAUGAAACUUGGAAUAUGUCGAAAGUUUCUAUACUUGGUGAAACCGUCAACAGUGAUGUUGAUCCUGAACGGUUACCUGAGCAG
rfam:Solanum tuberosum cultivar DM 1-3 516 R44 scf00152_9, whole genome shotgun sequence.